GCUCCAUUGGCCUAGUGGUUAGAGUGUCCACCUCAGAUGUGGGAGGUUGCGGGUUUUAAUCCUGGCUGAUGCA